CUCAGCCGUGUUUUCUCCACCCGACGGCGUCGCCAUCCGUAGUGCCGCCGACCUUCUCCACCCCGUCGCCUCUGCCCUAGCCGAACCUUGAAGAAAUUGGAGAGGCAGGGGGAAACAGUGAGGAAGGGCUCUGCUGUGCAGUGUUCCGACAGCAACAAUUAGAGUUCCAGCAGCAAUAAAUUUAAGCUGGCAGCAACAGACCUGGUGUGGAUCAACAAGCACGGCUACGAGUUAGCAAUUUAUUGUGUUGCUAGCAGCGACAAGUCGAUCUCCAAUUGUGCUGUUGACAGAAUCUUUACAGUUGUGAGGACUUUGACGCGAGACGAGUAUCUCGGAGUCAGAUUUGGACCAUUUUAUCGGAG